GACGAACGCUGGCGGCGUGCUUAACACAUGCAAGUCGAGCGGAAAGGCCACUUCGGUGGUCCUCGAGCGGCGAACGGGUGAGUAACACGUGAGUAAUCUGCCCCUCACUUUGGGAUAGCCACCGGAAACGGUGAUUAAUACCGGAUAUGACCAUAUGUCGCAUGGCGUGUGGUGGAAAGUUUUUCGGUGAGGGAUGUGCUCGCGGCCUAUCAGCUUGAUGGUGAGGUAAUGGCUCACCAUGGCUUCGACGGGUAGCCGGCCUGAGAAGGUGACCGGUCACACUGGGACUGAGACACGGCCCAGACUCCUACGGGAGGCAGCAGUGGGGAAUAUUGGACAAUGGGCGGAAGCCUGAUCCAGCAACGCCGCGUGAGGGAUGACGGCCUUCGGGUUGUAAACCUCUUUCAGUACCGACGAAGCGCAAGUGACGGUAGGUACAGAAGAAGCACCGGCCAACUACGUG
rnacentral:rRNA from 1 species